AAAGUCGUAACAAGGUUUCCGUAGGUGAACCUGCGGAAGGAUCAUUAUUGAAUAUGCUUGACGGGUUGUCGCUGGCCUUUCGAGGCAUGUGCACGCCUGUCUUGACUCUAUUCAUCCACCUGUGCACCUAUUGUAGUCUCUGUAUUCGUGUGAGCGUCGAGGGAAGCGGCUUGACUCGGUCAGUGAGACCGGACUUGAGGAUUGCCUUCUGGCUUUUCUCUGUGGCCGUGGAAAUCGUGCCUCUCCCGAAACAACGGAGGCUAUGUCCUUUUAUCAUAAACCAUGUAGUAUGUCGUCAGAAUGUAUUCAAUGGGCCUUCGUGCCUAUAAAACCUUAUACAACUUUCAGCAACGGAUCUCUUGGCUCUC
rnacentral:misc_RNA from 1 species